GCGGGAUUGGUGUUAGUGGCUAGCAUGUCAGCCUUCCAAGCUGAAGGGAUCGAUUCGAAUUCGGUAUCACGCUCCA
rnacentral:tRNA from 1 species